GAUGAAGAACGCAGCGAAAUGCGAUAAGUAAUGCGAAUCGCAGAAUUCAGUGAGUCAUCGAAUCUUUGAACGCACAUUGCGCCCUGUGGUAUUCCGCAGGGCAUGCCUGUUCGAGCGUCAUUUCAACCCUCAAGCUCUGCUUGGUGUUGGGCCCUGCCCGCUGCGGCCGGCCCUAAAGACAGUGGCGGUGCCGCCUGGCCCUGAGCGUAGUACAUCUCUCGCUCCAGUGCCCGGUGGUAGCCUGCCAGAACCCCAACUCUCGUGGUUGACCUCGGAUCAGGUAGGGAUACCCGCUGAACUUAAGCAUAUCAAUAAGCGGAGGA
rnacentral:misc_RNA from 1 species